rnacentral:rRNA from 1 species
CCCUAUUAUAAAAAUUUAAAUUAAUUUACUAAAAAAUUAAUAGUUAUGUUCUUUAAAUUUAAAAAAUUUGGCGGUAUUUUAGUCUUAUUAGAGGAAUCUGUUUAUUAAUUGAUAAUCCACGAUUAAUUUUACUUAUUUUAUUUAAUUCAUAUAUCGCUGUCAUGAAUAUAUUUAAAAAUUUAUUUUCUUUAAUUAUUUUAAUAAUUUAUGUUAAGUCAAGAUGUGGUUUAUAAAUAAGAAUAUAAUGGGUUACAUUAAAUUUUAUUUUUGGAUUUAAAAUGAAAAUUAAAAUGAAAUUGGAUUUAAUAGUAAGUUUAAUUAAUUUAUUAGUAUGAAUAAAGAUCUAAAUU